UCUGCCUCAGCCUCCAGGUUGGCUAGGAUUACAGUUGUGUACUACCACAUGGCUGGUGGUACCAUUCUUAAACUGUACAUGAAAUGUUAUGGAAUUACUUCAAGGCUGAUUAUGUUAAGGAUGCAUUUAAAAAAAAAAAAAAGGUCUGGAGAUGUAGGUGGGUGAUGAAGUCCUCCUAGGUUCCCUCCCCAUUCACCCCACUGGUCCCACAUGCUGCCGUCACGUGUUUUACUGUUACUUCUGUAUAAACCCCAUCAUACAGUGUUAAUAUUUUUGUUUAGUCAGCAGUCUUCUAGAGAAAUCUAAAGAGCAUGUUUUGUUUACCUACAUGUUGACUUUCUACAUGGGAGAACAUUCCUCGGCUGGUCUUCACUCAAGGAUUCUCCUCAAGAAUGCUUUAUGGGAUGAGGGCUGGGCCUCGCCUUCAGGCUAGUGUUCAGUUUAAAAACUCCUUUGGAAAUGUUCCAGAGGAAGGGGUGAGAUUCUCCUGGGAGCCGCUCCUCAGCCUGGACCACCUUCGGGUUCAGCAAAAUUGAGAGAUGAAUUUGGCUGCCUCGCACUUUCCAACCUGUGCAGUUUCUGAUGAGUACCUGGCAGGCAGGGAAUAUUCUUUUCUUAGCAAUUUCCUGGUCCAGCGACCACCUCGACAUUGCUGGGGCUGGAGGAUGAUGGGCAUUCCCCAGCCUGGACAAACUGCUGGCAACUUUAGCUUUUGUCUCCCAAGGUGGGGAAGCUUGACCUGCUGACCACUCCCCGGCUUGGGACCUUUCAGCAAUAUCUUGCACUGAGCUUUAUCACAAGUGUUACAUGCUUGAGGCUUUACACCUGGAUUGGAAUAUCCAUGCUAUGAUGAUCAUCAACAGAACAGUCCCAGUGUAUGAACGAAGUCCUUUUGCUGAUAGUGAUUUUGUGUGCUUCUGUCAUUGGCAUUCCAGUUGCCAUUCUGAGAAAGUAUUCUCAAGUGCUAGAGUAUACAUACUCCUGAAAACAAGAGCGCAAUUGACCAGAAUCUUUGCAAAGGCUUCCAAGCGGACGGAUGACCUGCCUUGUGUCCUGACCGUAGCUCUUAAAAUAUUGCUGAGAUGCAUGGGUAAUCCUAGCCCAGCUCCUGUGGGAACAAGAUGAGUGAACAGAUGCUCUGGUGCCACCUGGUGGCUAUCGAGGGUGCACUACAAUGACAGAUGCAAGCUCUGGAGGACCAAGGUAAACAAGGGCCAGAGAAUCAGGGCCAAGCAAUGAAGCCUGCUGUCCACUGGGACUCCAGUGGGUGGCUUCCAGAAUAUAGAUCCUCCUGGUUGACAAGGAAGAGAUGUCCCCCCUUCCCCGGCAAGUCUGGAAGAGCACAACUCCCUGGAGCAUCACAGAGAGGCAGGAGGUAGAGAGCACUUGCCCCACCUUACCCUCCAGCCCCAGUAGAGGCUCUUGUGUGGGAUGUGGGCUCUCUAAUUCAGUUCUGAUUUCGGCUGCAAAUUGUAUAUGAAACGGUGAUCUUAAGCUGCCUGGGUUUCAGAGAAAACUGUGCUGUUAAAAACAUGUAUGUUUUGAGUUGGUAGCUUUGCUUAAUUGUAUGUUGCCAUGGUAAUACAGACAUUUCUGUUUUUAAACAGCUGGCCAUGGUGGUAGAUGCCUAUAAUCCCAGCAACUUGGGAGGCUAAAGCAGGAGGAUCACAAGAUCAAGGCCAGCCUUUGCAGCUUGACUCACUCCUCAGCUGUCCUCCUCUCUUUGCCUGUUUCUGAGUUCAUCACGAGCUGAUAUUGCAGUCACUUCAUCAUCACACGCUUUAGCAUCUGACAGAUUGGUCCUCCCAGAUCUCUUUCUCUCCCACUUGUUGUUCUUCUUUUUUUUUUUAAUUUCAGGAGUUUUCUUGAUUUUCCUGCAUGAGUUUUAGAAUCAGUUUUUCAAGGUCCCAAAUAAUCCUGUAUAUAUAUAUAUUUGCUUCCCAUUAAAAUUAUAA